AAAGAGCACCUAUUAUGGGAUACACGUUUUUAAACAUCCUUUUGUGUGUAAGUGUGCAUUAGUACAUGCUAACGAUAUUCAAAAAGUACAUACCUCAAAGAAAACGAUGACGCGAGUUAUCGUCUCUAACGUUCGAGGACUACAAAAAACACUCGGAUUGUAGGCAACAGUUUACUUCCUGGGAUUAGUGACGUAGAUAAGACCAACAUUAUCAUAGUUCAGCCCUCUCUGCUUUGCUUGGGUACGCCCUCAAAGACGAGGGUGGGGUGGGGAGCGCCGAGUCAGAAGAGAGCUAAAAUGGCGGAGGUUGGGAGUCCCUGCUUUGACUCUGUUUGCAAACUCUUGUUUCAUUGUUUAAGCGAUUAAAUCUCUCGAGUAGACGCUGUCUCUUUAGAUGCGAGGGCAAAAUAGCACUUUAUGGACUUCCACAGAGGACAUCAUGUUUAAUACGGUUCCGGAAAAAUCCAGUCAGAAGUUGUUCACGGAGUUUUCACAAUAACUGCUUCUCAUGAACCGAAGCUGGAUUUGCGCGACGUCUCCUCUUGAAAGUUGGAUUACUGUGCACUUCUGGAUCACAGACUAUUCGCAGCUGGACACAUCCUUCUACAAUGUAUGCAAACAUGCAACAUCAUUACACACAGUACAAGGAGUCAGACUGGCAUAUGAGGAGCAAAGGAACCCAGGCAGUAGCAUCGUUUCACAAUGUUUCCAUCAUCAUCAUCAGUGGAUGCCUUUGCCGUCCGUAGCCUGAGAUUUCAGAUUUGCAGCAAAAAAAAAUGAUUUUCUCAUUUAUUGGAAUGCUGUGCAGGUAUUUGUACCUUGCAGCCAUCCAUUCCAAUGUCACCAAGCCGUAACAAAAGCAGGAGAGGGAAAGUACAAGGCUAUGUUCCCAAAACACAAAUGACAUACCUUAUGUGGAGGAUGUGAUCAGGCUUGUGUUUGAUGAGGUAUUUGAAGAUAAGCUGAUGGAAACCCCGAUUCCAAUGGACCUGGCAUCACAGUUUGAGAGACCUUCAAAGGAGGACGUGAUUGCAUGCCAUCUUCAGUGCAGGGGUCGUCGAAAGCCAAAAUUGUGACCGAUCUGAUCAGGAAGCUCCAAGCGUAUCUGGAGAACAACACACGACAGGAUGAUAACCCUAAAGUGUCAUCUUAGAUAGCACCAGCUGACAAAGCUUUGAUAUGCCAUUUAUCUGAAUAGAUAGCUGUAAGAAAUGAAUUGAACAAUUUUUGAAACAAGAGCACAAUAUGGUUACUAAAGUAUGUUUAUUUGUAUAUUGUUUAACAUUUAAAUAUAUAUUUGUAAUAAAUAAAAAAAACUUUUGACUGACUAUUAUAUUUUCUUUAAAGUUGCAUCUUUUGUUCUUUUGGGUACUUUGUUACUAUAAUGAUACUUUAGUGUUAUUGGUUUAAAAAUGUAAUAAAACUUACUCUAGUCCUGCGCCUCAAAGGCUUAUAGUC